rnacentral:lncRNA from 1 species
UCACGUAAGUAUUUGGAACACUAUUCCAAUAUUUAUUUGCAUGCUCCUAUACCACUAGAGUUUUGAGCAUUGGAACACUAGGCUUAUAUAAAAUCUUAAUGAGUAUGAAUAUUUUCUGCUUCAGAAAAUGUAUGGAUUUAUAUAUGAAAUUGCGAAGGUUUUGUGUAAAUAGUAAAAAAUAAAUUAUUGCAUUGAAGCAUUUGCGCCGAAUUUACUUCUGCUUGAAGGCGUCGGCUCGACGUUGGCAAACGUUGCACCGACAUUAGCAAAACAUUCAAGUUAGAUAAACAAAUACCGGCCAUUAUAUUUGGUAGCCUAUGAUCGAUAAUGAAACUGAAAAACAAUUAUCAACAUUAAACAUUUAUAGUAUGGAAAUUCAAAACCUAAGAUUAGGCCAUUAUAAAUAUUUUACAAAGGAAAUUUUAAAUAGAAAAACAUAUAUUUAACAUAAAUAUAUUAUUUAUUCACACACACACAUACACACACAAAAAAAAAUCUUUCUUUGAAAGUUUCAAAUCCUGUGACAUAUUCUAACAAAUAGUAUAAAUCUGUAAUAUGUGAUUUUAAUAUGUAUGUUAAGAGCUGAACAAUUAAUAUAACAUCCACUUGCAACAUAUUUUUAUGAUAUUUAAUGUUGCUGUAUUUAUGUAUUACAUAUAGGUUGCCUAUUUGAAUUCUUUGGACGCAUAACAGCAAAGGGUGUAAUUGAGAGAAUAAUGGAGUGCAUAUCCACCCAGCCCUUCGCCUGUCGUUACGACUGGGUUGGCAGGAGAAAAACAUAACGGCAUCAGGAAAUUAAUUCUCAGAAAGAUGCUUACCCAAAACAGCAACAUAAGAGGCAGGAGCAGAACUGCAUCUUAGAAAUUGAUUAAGAUAUGCAUCGGACCAAAGUUGGGGCCGCAAAAGGAACACUUGGGGAGGAGAGGCAACGUGCGAGGCCAGCAGCCAUGGAGACGUAGUCGGAAUCCGAAUAAGAUGAUGAACAAGAUUGAUAUGUACCUCGAUAAUAAAUGUUACAACUGUGA